AUUGAACGCUGGCGGAAUGCUUUACACAUGCAAGUCGAGCGGCAGCGCGGGGGCAACCCUGGCGGCGAGCGGCGAACGGGUGAGUAACACAUCGGAACGUACCCUAUCGUGGGGGAUAACGAAUCGAAAGAUUCGCUAAUACCGCAUACGACCUGAGGGUGAAAGCGGGGGAUCGCAAGACCUCGCGCGACAGGAGCGGCCGAUGGCGGAUUAGCUAGUUGGUGGGGUAAAGGCUCACCAAGGCGACGAUCCGUAGCGGGUCUGAGAGGACGGCCCGCCACACUGGGACUGAGACACGGCCCAGACUCCUACGGGAGGCAGCAGUGGGGAAUUUUGGACAAUGGGGGCAACCCUGAUCCAGCCAUUCCGCGUGAGUGAAGAAGGCCUCGGUU
rnacentral:rRNA from 1 species